AGUGAACGCUGGCGGUAGGCCUAACACAUGCAAGUCGAACGGCAGCACAGUAAGAGCUUGCUCUUACGGGUGGCGAGUGGCGGACGGGUGAGGAAUACAUCGGAAUCUACUUUUUCGUGGGGGAUAACGUAGGGAAACUUACGCUAAUACCGCAUACGACCUACGGGUGAAAGCAGGGGAUCUUCGGACCUUGCGCGUUUGAAUGAGCCGUUGUCGGAUUAGCUAGUUGGCGGGGUAAAGGCCCACCAAGGCGACGAUCCGUAGCUGGUCUGAGAGGAUGAUCAGCCACACUGGAACUGAGACACGGUCCAGACUCCUACGGGAGGCAGCAGUGGGGAAUAUUGGACAAUGGGCGCAAGCCUGAUCCAGCCAUACCGCGUGGGUGAAGAAGGCCUUCGGGUUGUAAAGCCCUUUUGUUGGGAAAGAAAAGCAGCAGGUUGAUACCCCGCUGUUCUGACGGUACCCAAAGAAUAAGCACCGGCUAACUUCGUG
rnacentral:rRNA from 1 species